UACAGAGGGGGCAAGCGUUGCUCGGAAUUACUGGGCGUAAAGGGCGCGUAGGCGGGAUGGCAAGUCGGUCGUGAAAUCCUUCGGCUCAACCGAAGCACGUCGAUCGAUACUGCUGUUCUUGAGGGUUGCAGAGGAGACUGGAAUUCCCGGUGGAGCGGUGAAAUGUGUAGAGAUCGGGAGGAACACCGGUGGCGAAGGCGGGUCUCUGGGCAAUUCCUGACGCUGAGGCACGAAGGCCAGGGGAGCAAACGGG
rnacentral:rRNA from 1 species